GACGAACGCUGGCGGCGUGCCUAAUACAUGCAAGUCGAGCGCAGGAAACUGACGGAACUCUUCGGAGGGAAGGCAGUGGAAUGAGCGGCGGACGGGUGAGUAACACGUAAGGAACCUGCCUCAAGGAUUGGGAUAACUCCGAGAAAUCGGAGCUAAUACCGGAUAGUUCAACGGACCGCAUGGUCCGCUGAUGAAAGGCGCUCCGGCGUCACCUUGAGAUGGCCUUGCGGUGCAUUAGCUAGUUGGUGGGGUAACGGCCCACCAAGGCGACGGGGGAGAGCAGACCUGGGAGGGUGAUCGGCCACACUGGGACGGAGAAACGGCCCAGACUCCUACGGGAGGAAGCAGUAGGGAAGCGUCCACAAUGGACGAAAGUCUGAUGGAGCAACGCCGCGUGAGUGAUGAAGGUUUUCGGAUCGUAAAACUCUGUUGUAAGGGAAGAACACGUACGAGAGGAAAUGCUCGUACCUUGACGGUACCUUACGAGAAAGCCACGGCCAACUACGUGCCAGCCGCCGCAGUAA
rnacentral:rRNA from 1 species